rnacentral:rRNA from 1 species
AGAAUCAACGCUGGCGGCGUGCCUCAGACAUGCAAGUCGAACGAUUAAACUUUCCUUCGGGAAAGAUAUAAAGUGGCGCACGGGUGAGUAACACGUAAGUAAUCUACCUUUGAGUGGGGAAUAACCCGGGGAAACCCGAGCUAAUACCGCAUAAUGCAGCGGCACCGCAAGGUGACAGUUGUUAAAGGAGCAAUCCGCUUAAAGAGGAGCUUGCGGCAGAUUAGCUAGUGGUAAGGUAAUGGCUUACCAAGGCUACGAUCUGUAACCGGUCUAAGAGGACGGUCGGUCACACUGACACUGAAUAACGGGUCAGACUCCUACGGGAGGCAGCAGUCGGGAAUUUGGGCAAUGGGCGAAAGCCUGACCCAGCAACGCCGCGUGAAGGAUAGAAGUAUUCGGUAUAGUAAACUUCGAAAGAAUAGGGAAGAAUCAAAUGACGGUACCAUUUAAUAACGGUCCGACUAACUACGUAGCCAAGCGAGCCGGAC